rnacentral:rRNA from 1 species
AGCGAACGUUAGCGGCGCGCCUAACACAUGCAAGUCGCACGAGAAAGGGAGCAAUCCCCGGUACAGUGGCGCACGGGUGAGUAACACGUAGAUGACCUUCCCUGGAGUGGUGGAUAACCUGCCGAAAGGCGGGCUAAUACAGCAUGGGACCACAUGGUUUUGACCGAGUGGUGAAAGCGGGCCUCUGUUCACAAGCUCGCGCUCUGGGAUGGGUCUGCGUCCCAUCAGCUAGUUGGUGAGGUAAUGGCUCACCAAGGCAUCGACGGGUAGCUGGUCUGAGAGGAUGACCAGCCACACUGGAACUGAGACACGGUCCAGACUCCUACGGGAGGCAGCAGUGGGGAAUCUUGCGCAAUGGGCGAAAGCCUGACGCAGCGACGCCGCGUGGGUGAUGAAGGCCUUCGGGUUGUAAAGACCCUGUGGGGAGGAACGAACCGUAACGGGGCGGAACGACCCUCCGUACCUGACGGUACCGUCCUUACGC